AUAAAUAAAUAAAUUUUUAUAGUUUGAAAUUUUAUUAUAAACUUAUUUUACAUAUAAAUUUUAGUGUAUAAUAUAAUAUUAUUUUAAUAAUAUUUUAUAUUAUUUGUAGUAAUUAAUAUUAAUUAUUUAAGAAAUUAAGAUUUAGUAAUGUUAAAAUUAAUAACAAAUUUUGUGCCAGCAGUUGCGGUUAUACAAAAGUUAAAUUAAAAUUUAUUAGUAAUUAAUAAAUAAAAUUUAUAUUUAAAUUAAAAAUUAGAUUAUUAAGUGAAAUUUUAAUUUAGUAAAAUUUAUAUUUAAAUUUAUGAUUUAAUAAAUUUUAUUAAAAACUAGGAUUAGAUACCCUAUUAUUAAAAUUUAAAUUAAAAAUACUAAAAUAGUAAAUAAUUAUUUAUUGAAAUUUAAAUAAUUUGGCGGUAUUUUAGUUCAUUUAGAGGAAUCUGUUUAUUAAUUGAUAAUCCACGAAUAAUUUUACUUAAUUUAUUAUUUUUGUAUAUCGUUGUUAAAAAAAUAUUUUUUAAUAAAAUUAAUAUUUAAAAAUUAAAAAAAAAAUUAAAUCAGAUCAAGAUGCAGAUUAUAAUUAAGAAUAUAAUGGAUUACAAUAAAUUUUAUUUAAAUGAAUAUUAAUUUGUAAAAGUUAAUUAAAAGUGGAUUUAAAUGUAAUUUUAUUUAAUUUAAUAAAAUGAUUUUAUAUUAAAAUAUGUACAUAUUGCCCGUCGCUUUCAUAUAAUAAUAAAUUGAAAUAAGUCGUAACAAAGUAGAGGUACUGGAAAGUGUUUCUAGAAAGAA
rnacentral:ncRNA from 1 species